AACGAACGCUGGCGGCAUGCCUAACACAUGCAAGUCGAACGAGAAAGUUUCUUCGGAAAUGAUUAGAGUGGCGAACGGGUGAGUAACGCGUAGAUAACCUACCUUUGAGACAGGGAUAACUUUUCGAAAGGAGAGCUAAUACCCGAUAACAGGGAACUUCAUAAGGAGUUCCCUUGAAAGCUCCGGCGCUCGAAGAUGGGUCUGCGUCCCAUUAGCUAGUUGGUAGGGUAACGGCCUACCAAGGCAACGAUGGGUAGCGGGUUUGAGAAGAUGAUCCGCCACACUGGCACUGAGACACGGGCCAG
rnacentral:rRNA from 1 species